ACCGUCCGACUAGGUAGUAUAGUGUUAAGUACGUUUACCGCCUUGGGAUAGGCUUGCGUCUGAUUAGCUAGUUGGUGUGGUAAUGGCACACCAAGGCUACGAUCAGUAACUGGUCUGAGAGGAUGAUCAGUCACACUGGAACUGAGACACGGUCCAGACUCCUACGGGAGGCAGCAGUGAGGAAUAUUGGGCAAUGCACGAAAGUGUGACCCAGCAACGCCGCGUGGAGGAUGAAGGUAUUCUAUAUCGUAAACUCCUGUGAGAGCAGACGAAAGACAGAUUAUUAAUUUGGAUGACUGUAUGCUCAGAGGAAGCCCCGGCUAACUACGUG
rnacentral:rRNA from 1 species